AACGAACGCUGGCGGCAGGCCUAACACAUGCAAGUCGAACGAUAAGCCACCUUCGGGUGGUGGACAGUGGCAGACGGGUGAGUAACGCGUGGGAACGUGCCUUUCGGUUCGGGACAACCCAGGGAAACUUGGGCUAAUACCGGAUACGCCCUUCGGGAGAAAGAUUCAUUGCCGAAAGAUCGGCCCGCGUCGGAUUAGCUAGUUGGUGGGGUAAUGGCCUACCAAGGCGACGAUCCGUAGCUGGUCUGAGAGGAUGACCAGCCACACUGGGACUGAGACACGGCCCAGACUCCUACGGGAGGCAGCAGUGGGGAAUAUUGGACAAUGGGCGAAAGCCUGAUCCAGCCAUGCCGCGUGGGUGAAGAAGGCCUUAGGGUUGUAAACCCCUUUCAGCGGGGACGAUAAUGACGGUACCCGCAGAAGAAGUCCCGGCUAACUCCGUGCCAGCAGCCGCAGUAACAC
rnacentral:rRNA from 1 species